GAGACUGAAAGCCUGCUGACGUGAGCAGCAUGGUAAAGAGCACUGGCAGCCUCAACAUAAAAGAGGCUCCCAGCUGACAACCAGGAAAGAAACGGGACUUCACCCUUCAGCCUCGAGGAAUGAGAUUCUAUCCCCAACCUGAGUGAGCCGGGAAGUGACUUCUCCCCCCAAGACUCCAGAUAAGGGCCCAGGCUAACCACCAUCUUGAUUUCACCUUGUGCAACCUGGAGCCAAGGAAUCAGUCAGACCCACAGGACUUCUGACUUGCAGAAGUGAGAGUUUCCUCUGUCCAGUUGGGUGUGUUUGGCCAUCCCCAUAAUCAAAGGCUGGAAAUCCCUCCCUCACCAAUGAAAUAAAGUGGGAGCGAAUAAAACAGUGAUAACACUGCAGGCGGUGAGAAGUGAAGGAAGAAGACGCCAUGUAAACCUUGAACAGACAGCUGCAGAUAUGUGAUGACUUGAGAAUUUCUGAAACAUCUGUCUACCUCUAAAAGAAGCAUACAGUUUUAAAGUCUCAAGACUGGAAAGAAUGUAAUGGUCAAAUACUGUGACCAAUCAGCUUGUGUUUUAAGUCCUUUUAUCUAUAUCCCCCAAAUGUCCUUUUAUCUAUAUCCCUCAAAUGUCACCACCAGCCUAUGAAUCACACCUCUGAUGAUAAGAAACUUAGUUAUUUCUCAAGCUCUAAGUGCUACACAGUCAUCCCUUACAAAGACAAACUUUAAUCCAAAACAUUUUCUGUAUGUUAAGUGUUCUAUUCUGUAUUAUAAGAUUCUAUAUUUGUAUCCUCAGAACCUAGAAAAACAUAGGUAUGCAAGUGCUCAGUGAGGUUGGUUGAAUGGAGUUGAAAAAAUUUCCUUGGGUUGUAUACUAUAUUGCCAUCUAGUUAAUUGUGUGUGCGUUUUAUUUUCCUAACUAGACUGUAAACUCUGUGAGGGAAUGACAUCUUGUUUUAUAUAUUUUUGUAUCCUCUGCCUUCCCUAGUAUUAUUAUAUAUGUAUAAUGCCCCUAAUAGCUAUUUGUUGAAUUUAAAAUGUGAGUGAAUGAAUGAAUGAAUA
ensembl:lncRNA